rnacentral:rRNA from 1 species
UGGGGAAUAUUGGACAAUGGGCGCAAGCCUGAUCCAGCCAUGCCGCGUGAGUGAUGAAGGCCCUAGGGUUGUAAAGCUCUUUCACCGGUGAAGAUAAUGACGGUAACCGGAGAAGAAGCCCCGGCUAACUUCGUGCCAGCAGCCGCGGUAAUACGAAGGGGGCUAGCGUUGUUCGGAUUUACUGGGCGUAAAGCGCACGUAGGCGGACUAUUAAGUCAGGGGUGAAAUCCCGGGGCUCAACCCCGGAACUGCCUUUGAUACUGGUAGUCUUGAGUUCGAGAGAGGUGAGAGGAAUUACGAGUGUAGAGGUGAAAUUCGUAGAUAUUCGGAGGAACACCAGUGGCGAAGGCGGCUCACUGGCUCGAUACUGACGCUGAGGUGCGAAAGCGUGGGGAGCAAACAGG